UUUUAAAUUUCUGUAUUUUUAACUAUUAUAUUUUAUUCUAAGAUUUUAUUAUAUUUUUCCUUUGGCCUUUCUGAUUUUUUAUAGUCAAAAUUGCCUGAAAUGUUACCCUAUGUUGCUUUAUAUUUUUCAGAAAGUUUAAUAAUCUUUAUAGCCCCUGUCAAUAUUCCAGGAAAAAAAUGGUAGUAGUCUAACAAUGGCAAAUAAUUGGUCAGAUUAUUGCUUUUUCUUGGCUUAGUGAUACUAAAUUUGUAGCAUAUUAAACUUUCAAUUGCAGCAAGGAUAUUCUUCAUUGGAAUAAAAUAACCAGAAUUUAACAUUUUCAUGCUACUUGAUGAGAAUGAUCUAGUUGCAGUUGAGCUAAAAACAAAAGAAAAAACAGCAACAACAGGAACAAAAGCAAAGGAAAUAUAGUGAUGUUACUAUUAUUAUUAUUUCAGUGUUACAUGAAGGCAAAAGAGAAAAACACUCAUUAUAUUGUAGCUUUUCUUGGAUUGAAAUUUUCUGUAUACAUUGGGCUUGGGAUCCAAUUUAUUCAUCUAAAUUAUUCUUUGUCUUCUAGUUAAUAAUGUAGCUGCCAUUUUCAUUUUGUGUAUGAAAACUGAUUCUUUUACUUACCCUAACAGCAAAUUUAAUGGGUUAGAAUUAGAUUUUAACACAGAUGUUACUCUGCUCUGGUAGAUUAUUUUCAGAUCAAUGGUAACAGGAAAAAUACUGCCAUAGUACCUUACCUUAAGGUUAUUUAAUGUUUUUUUUUUUUUUUUGGUCCUUUUGGAUUAACUAUGAUUGCAGAAAAGCCCAGAAUGACAAUUAUUGCAGCUGCGAUUGAUUCAACAAGUUUAAAACUGCACCCUGUUCUCAUUCAGAUCAUCUUGAGACCACCAACUCAGAUUUGUUGUUCAGAGUUAAGAGUUGGACAUGGUAUACAAUGGAGAUAAUUUGAUCACCACAGGAAUUCAGCUUCUGAUUGGGGCCUUGCUGUGUUCUAAUCAACCGAACUAAUGAACUAUAUACACCGUACAUUUAUCUACUAGGAAGACUUGGAUUUUCCCAGAGCCAGUGGUAAUCAAGUUUGCCACUAUUGUUCAUAUUUGAUCAUAAGAAAAUCAAGUCUAUUAAUGCCCAUAUUAAAAAAAAAAAUCACUGAUUCCAUGUAUGUAUAUGGUUGUCAUUUACUUGCUUAAUGUAAAUGGACCCCACAGAGUUAUACAACAUUAACCUCCUUCAGCACAUGGUGUAAAGUGCAAAACUUUCCCUGGAAUCCUUCCUCUCUUCAAUGACAUUUUUUUUACACCUAAACUUGCAUUUGUUCAUGGUAGCAUGACGAAAUUUAUUACAGCUAAUAUUUACACAUAAUUCUAUAAAAACAUACAAAUUAUUACUAGUUUUCUGGCUUGAGAGUAUUUGACGUUCCCUGGUGGGUCAAAUGGUAAAGAAUCUGCCUACAAUGCGAGAGGCCCAGGUUGGAGCCCUCGGUCGGGAAGACGCCCUAGAGAAGGGAAUGGCUACCCACUCCAGUAUUCUUGCCUGGAGAACUCCAUGGACAGAGGAGCCUGGUGGGUUAACGUCCAUGGCUACAAAGGGUCAGACAUUACUGAGCGACUAAAAACAACAACAAACUCAACAACUCUUCGUUAAGAAGCUAUUUUGUGCCCGACAUCGUGUCAUAGACUAGAAGACAGGGAAUGUAGAAAUGGACAAAGAGGAUAUGAUUGCAGAGGAAAGCAGAAUAACUUCAUACUCAACGUUUAUAUCAUACUGAUUUAUCUUGCAGAUAGAGUUAUAGAUGUGGUAAAGCUAUUACCUCAGAAGACAACAAAUAGAUAUAAACAUAUAUUUCUUGGUUUUAUUAGUUAGCACUUAAAGUAUUGAAUCUUUUCCUUCUCUCUUGGUUCAUAGAGACCACUCUGUGAGAUGGAUUGAAACUGUGAGAAAGUACCAAGUAAUCCCUCCCCAGCCAUAAGUACUCCAAGAAACUCUAGCCCAUGGACUUAACUUAUGUAUAUUUUUCCAGAGAACUAGAAUUAGAAAGGAUAGGAAAUUGUGGGUUAAAUGAGGCUAGAAAUAGAAGGUAGAGUAGAUUUCAAAGUAGGAAGUGAGGUUUUUACAUUAAGGUCUUGGAAGAGACUCUUAUAGACAAAGCAGCCAAAAUCCUUGCUCUGGAAGAUUUUACAUUUGAGGUGUAAUAUUACAAUCUGACUUUGCCAUGAGACAGGGAGUAGUUUUGCAAAUUGUUAGAUAUUCAGUAAUACAAUGGAAAAUAACAGAAAGCUUUUUGCAAAGUGAAAGGGUGACCAUUGUAAAAGAUGCAAUAUUCUGUGCAGUCAGUAAAAGUGAUAGGAAAGAACGGAGCAGAUCAUAACAGACCCAACGACAAAUGAAAGCCCAUCUGUCUAUUCCAGCUAAUAACUGAAGAACAGGAAAGGAAACAAAGAUGAUGAAUAACAGGUAAGUAAAACAGAAUGACUUAAUCAUCAAAUAAUUUUAAAAGAUCAUGGGAAAAUUUGAUGAAAACUAAGAAUUCUUUUAAAAAAUAAUAAAUGGUUUAAUUUUGCUUUUAAAUAAUAAAUGAAGUAUGAAAUCUUGUAUCUCUAUAUCAUAAUAUUAAUGAGAAAAGAUAAAAGCCCAAUUCAUCUAACUAACAUUUGAUUAAUUUGAUUCUUAGAACUAAAUAUUAUAAUCUUAUUUUUAUUAAAAGUAAAAUUAACUUAUUUUAUAAUUUACAGCUUUUUGACUUUUCAUGAGAAAGUCUUAGUAAAACCAUUCUCCAGCCCACUCCUCAGUAUUAACUGUUACAUCAGACUCUGUUAUAUGGAUUUAAGUGGCUUUUAUCAAAUAUCAGUGAUCAAGAGCCUUCUUUUUGCAUAAAUAGCCCUCUCUGCCUUCUAAUUUUGAGGUCCAUCUAAGAUAGAAUUAACUUCACUUUCAUUUUGGAUAAGCAAUUUGCAGAGUUACCUACAUUUCCUAGUAUCAUAUUCAUUUCACUGGAUUCUAAGAAUAUCUUUUUAUUUACACUGCCUCUUUUGUAAUUUAUGCACAAAAUUAUUAGAUAAAGUUAAACCUUUGGUAUAAACAUACUACUAAUAGAACAUUAGAACUAGAAUAAAAUAUUUUUUUACAUAAAAAGCUAUGUUCACUAGAAAUUUUCAUGUUAUACAUUGUUUUUAGACUUAAGGAAUAAGAAAGAAUACCCCCUACCAUUCCAAUUGUCGAGCAUUUAUUUCCUCAACAGAUACCUGUCUGUCACCCACCAUCCUCCCAGCACUCUCCUAGACACUGAGGAUUCCACUGGAAUGAAAAGAGUCAACACAAUCCAAUCCUCACAGAACUUACAUUCUAUCAAGAAGCAGAAAAUCAAAUAAUUGUCUAUAUUUGAGUCUAAUGGUAGGUAAUAGUGUGUCUGUGCUUAGCUGCUCAGUUGUAUCUGACUCUCUGCGAGUUGAUGGACUGCGGCCCUCCAGACUCCUCUGUCCAUGGGAUUUCCCAGGUAAGAAUACUGGAGGGGGUUGCCAUUUCCUCCUCCAGGGGAUCUUCCCGACCUAAGGAUCAAACCUGUUUCUGCAUUGGUAGAUUCUUUACCACUGUUCUACCUGGGAAGUCCAAGUAAUGGUAUUAUGAAGAAAACACAAGAAUGGGGUAAAAGAAUAUUGGGUGGGAGUCACAAGCUGAAAUAAAUGGAUUAAAAAAGGUAAUAUUUGAACUAGGAGUUGAAAUAGGUAAGGAGAUGCUGGAGAUUCUGGCCAAUGCAAAAUAUAACUUUUAAAAUGGGACCAAGAGAGAUAAGGGUAGAAGUGAAGAGAUACAAACUCUUGUCAGAAGAUGCUCUGGUCAUUUACAUAGAAAAUCAACACAAAAUAAUUCAUGUUAACAAGAAUUCAGCAAAUUUCCAAGAAUUAAAGCAAGCUAAAACUCUUUAGCACCCCUUUACAUCAGUAAAAACAAGUUAAAAUACAACAGAAAAUUAAACAGCAUUCAUGUGAAUAUCUUGAAUUUAACAGAGAAUGCAUAAGACUUAUAUGCACACAUGUACGCUUUAAAAGCUCUACUAAAGCACUUUAAAGAAGACCUAAAUAAGUGGAAAGCAGCAUUGUUUUGUGUCAGUUCUCUCCAAAUUAAUGUAGAUAUUGAUUAUUCAACAUUGCUAAAAAAAUUCUAACAAGAUUUUACUGGGGAAUUUGAAAAGCUGAUUCUAAAAAUUAUAUUGAAGAUCAAUGGCUCACAAUUAGGCAGUUUUAAUAAUAGAAAGCUAAAUAUUAAGGCUUCCCUGGUGGCUCAGAGGUAAAGAAUCUGCCUACAGUGCAGGAGACAUGAGUUUGAUUCCCUGAGGGAAAGUCCCCAGAGAAGGAAAUGGCAAUCCAUUUCAAUAUUCUUGCCUGGGAAAUCCCAUGGACAGAAGGAGCCUGGUGGGCUUCCGUCCAUGGGGUUUCAAAGAGUUGGACACAGUGUAGCAACUAAAUAACAACAAUAAAGCUAUUAAGACAUCACAAAAGUAUAUUAAUUAUAAGAAUAUGGCAUGAGCAUAGAAAUAGAUACUGGAUUAAGAAUAGAUUUGUUGAGCAAAUCCUUAUAUAUGUGAGAAUUUGAUAUACACUUCAGCUGGCAUGAAAAUUCAAUGGUAAAGGAAAGAAUAUUUGUUAAAUCACAUUAGAAAAACUGACUAUGUAGAGAAAAAUGACUUUGAGACUACCUCAAAGCAUAUUACAAAAUAAACUCCAAAUGAUCUAUAGAGCUAAAUUUGAAGACAAAUUUAUAAUUGUAAUGAGAGAUAUGACUCUUUAUUAGUUUUUGUAAAAAGAUUUCUAAAAAUCAUCAGUCAACUAAUUUCAAAAGCAUCCAAGCUCUGAAUUGAAGCUCUGUUUCUCUACCUCUUGAUAAUGUUUACAUCCAGGAGGAGGUUAGAUUUUCUAAGAGAGGGUGUCCAACUCUGUACAAAUAGGGAGAAUUGGUUUAGAAGAGGCCAGUAGAUUUGGUAUUCAGGAACUUGUCUGAAACUUUAGCCAGCUAAGGACAUAGCCUUACAGGGAGUUCAGCUCAGUGCUCCAUGACAACCUAGAUGGGUGGGAUGGGGGUGAGGUGGGAAGGAGAUUCAGGAGGGAGGGGAUAUAUGUAUACAUACAGCUGAUACAUUUCAUUGUACAGCAUAAACAACAUUGUAAAGCAAUUAUACUCCAAAAAAAAAAAAAAAAAAGGAACCCAAAGCAUUUUGGAUGUUCUAUAGGUGGGCUCAGCUUGACUAAAUAUCUGGCAACAAACAAGCAUUACUCAGCAAGCCAUUGAGAAAUACACAACUGUUGAGUUUAUUUUUGUUUUAUUUAGAGAUGCAGACAAGCUCCUGCAGCCAAAGCAAAACUUGGAUCCACUUUGGAUUUUGGUCUCUUUUGUUUUUAUAAAAGAUUUGAUGGUACUUUUGACAAUCACUAGUUUUCCCUAGUGUCCUAACUGACAUUAUCUCCCUUCACAAAAUAGGCUCUCAAAGCCAGGCUGUGGUAAAUAAUUCCUGAAAACACAAUAUUCAUGCCACUCUUGCCUCCUCAAUUACUGCAAUGUUAUCUUUUAAACAUUCUAGAGGGAAGGCUCUACAAACCCAAGAUAUCUGGGUCUAUAAGAGAAGAGAUCAUAAAGAAAAGACGCUCAUAAAGCCAUUAUUAUUUGUUUUGCCAAGGGAAUUGACUGUAUUCCUUUCUGUUCAUGUAAUUCGUUCGUAAUGGUAAGAGCUUUAUUGUAGUAAGUAUUUUUCAAGUCUUUGGAAUUUAGGAGUAAAUACACAGGAUAAUCCAUCCAAUGUUCCAAACCAUGGGUCAGGGGCCAGGAAGCAUUCUGUGUGUCACCCUGUAGAGAGAAAGCUGCUGUUAAUUUACAUGAGGAGUAAAGAGUUUAUCUCUAGCAAAAGAGGAUUUUCUCAUUGCAUGACUGCUUUUCGGAACAAAAUUGUAAGGCAGAAGAAGAUCAGGUUUCUAAUGAACAUGUAAAAAGUAAAUUUGUAAUAGAGUUUUCAGAAGGAGAAACAGACUCUCUUUAAAGAGUAGUGAGUUUCAUGCAACUAGAGGUAUUUAAGCAGGGGAUGUGUAAUCAGAAAAGAAAAGAAAAACUGUAAAAGCUUUCAGAGGGCCCAACUGCCUUCCCAAAGCAUCAGUGGAUUGGGUGUAAACUUCAGUUUAAGCAGACAGCUUUGGGCGAGGGAGAGUAGGGGGCACGUGGAAGCUUUCACAUUCUCCUUGGCUCCAUAGGACCCUGUCAAGGUGGAGAACUAGAAGGAACAACAUAAGAAAUGAAAGGUAUAACCAUCAAGGGGAGCAAUACAGGUAUGGAAAACUUUCGUCGUUUUCCCCACAUGAACACAGUCACGUCCAUCCCAUUCAUCCUUGUUUGAGUCCCUCUCCUCUGAACCCAUCUCCAGCUGUGAAAAUUCAACCAGUGUUCCUGUCCCAAAUCAAAUGGAAUUUCCCCAUAAAAUAACUCCCUGAUUCAUAAACAAAAUUAAUAUAGUAAUUCCCUGACUCAGGCUUCCCACAGAUCUUUUCAUUUGUUCAGUUUUAGCUCUUAACAGGGACUUCUCUUGCAGCCUGUAGCUUAUUCUAAAAGUAUCUUUUCUCACCUACUGAAAUUUAAAUUUUUGAAGACAGAGAAUGUAUCUAGUAGAUCCUUGCACCUCAAAUGUGUAAUGACACCUCCAUGUGUAACUCUCUACCUUGUAGCCAGUACAUUUCAAUAGACGGAUACUAAAUGGAUGGGAGAAUGAAUGGAACAUUCUGAAGAGGAGGAAAAUGUCCAAGUGGCUUCUUGGCAGCAGGGUGCUUCUGUCUCCCUUUCCUUUGAUCGAACUUCUUUCAUUUCAGACUUUGGGCUGAAAAAUGACAAGAUCAAGAAAACAGUAGGGAUACAAAGUUGGGAGGUUUGUUGAGAGCAUGUGCAACUCCAUGAAAUUGCAGUUUCAAAGAUCAAGGUAAAACUUUUUCCCCCUUCAGGUAAGGAAAAACCUGUGAGUGAGUGGAAUUAGAAAGAGGAAAAAGACCAAGUGAAAAAUCAUCACUCAUCAUGAAUGGUAUUAAAAUAGAACCACUGAGAAGAUUUUUGAGACAAUGACUUUCUUUCCAAAAGGGUAAACCCUGUCAACAGCAGGAGGUAAAAACUGCAGUCAACAGCACUGAGUGAAAGGUAAGAUUUCAGGCAACUUAAAGAAAAAAAAAAAUCUUUAAAGAUAUUAGUGACUCUCUUCCACAUUUCCAUGAAGGCUCUACUCAUAAGGAAAAUAUUCCCCUGUAUUCCAUAGCAAUAUAUCUUAUUUUUUUUAAUGCAGCAACACCAGCCAACUGGUGAGGUGGAGACACUGAACAGCUACCUUGGCACUCGGUUCUUAAUAUCCAUUCAGAGGGUUAACUUUCAGCAAAGCCAAAAAGAUGACAGCCAGAUAAAACAGUCGCAGUCCUCAGGGUGGAAAAUCAUGUUGCCAGGCCAGCCAAAAUAUAAUUUCUCGUAUGUCUUUUCUCUCAAGGAAGUACUUCUGAAAAACACCUUUCUAGCACAAUAGUCAUUGAAUCCAAUUAUAUAUUUUUAGACACCACUAAACAUUCUUUUUUUAUUUCUUCCAUUUCACGAAAACUCUCCACAUCUGGAAAGAACAGCAAUGAAGAACAGGAACUGGCGCGUUCAUGCUUGGCUCCUACCGGGCAUGUUUCAUUUAAUUUCCUCCAUUUUUAUGACAUUUUCCUAUGCUGCUACUCCAGACGUUCAAUAAAACACCUCGCCGCCGAGAAAACCAUAGGGGAAGGAAAAUCUAAAGAAACUCUGACGGAAGAUCUGAGAGUGAGAUCACUUCGACCAGGCAAGAGGAGCCUGUGUUCCGGCUUCUAAGCACCGCUUUCCUGGGGUCUCUCCUUGGCCUGCAUGCAUCAGCGCUGCUGACCUGUGCACUCUGAUCCACCGCCGGACGAACGGGUGCACUAUCCUCCUGGAGCUUGUUUUCUGUAGUCUAUCUUCCUUGCAGUGUCAGAAAGACCACAAAAGCCUGUAUUGUCUAUUCAGUUUUCCAAACUUCAGCCAUCCAGUCCACAAUCAGUUUUUCCCCGGGACAGUUGAGAAGUCAUUUCUUUUUGUUUUAUAACAAGCAAGAACCAGCUAUGAAUACAAUCUAGAGCAAGAGUAUGGUCUAGCGUAGACAGGGAAGAACCAGAUAUGAGAUAAACAGGUCAAAAACUGAACCAUGACCUCAGCUGGAAGCAUGAUGGGGAAGCAGGGUAAACGUAGUGCCUAGGAAAGCCAUAUGUUCAUAAAAAAGAUGUCAGCUUGGCUAUUGUGAAUAAUGUAGCAAUGAACAUAGGAGUGGUAAAACCUUUUUGGAUCCUGCUUUCAAUUUUGGGGGGUAAAUUCCAGACGUUGAAUUGCUGAAUCUCAAGAUGUAUCUUCAUCUGUGAUUCACUGGCCCUAUCAUUAGAAUUUGCUGAGCUUCCCCCUGCCUCAGGACCUUUGAACUUGCUCUUUUUGUACCUGGAAUGAUCUUCUCUCAAGUUUGCACAUGGCUCUCUGCAUCUUGUUACUUGGUUCUCUUAUGAAAAUAUCCUCAGAGGGUCCUUUGCUGACCACCCUAACACAGGGCUAUUCCCUUCCCAAUCCUGCCAGUGUGAGUUCUGGCCCUCUUUGGCAUGGGAGUGAUAAAAGGAUGCCAUAAGGUACGGCGAGAUCUGUAGAUUUCUAAGAUUUUUCUCUCCGGAACAACACAAUUUCCUAAACACUGCUGCUAAUCAUGUUCCAGCAAGACUUCAGUAUUGCUCAGAUGACAGGUUUGUGUUCCCUUCUCAAGUGAGAUGCUGAGUGUGAUGUGGUUAGGCUGAAAGGGAUUAAUGCAAAAUAGGAUAUGGGUUGAUUAUAGAGCUGAGAGAAAUUUGAGUUGGAAUGUAGUUGGUGAUUGUUGUGCAAAUUUCUGUUAGAUGGUUGAAGCAAAAAACGAUGGCAAGGGAGCCAGACUUGCCCCUUGGUAUUAGAGUGAUCCCUGGGAAUUUGUCAUCAAGUGGAGGAUGGUUUUUAAUUCUAAUUUCACCUGUGUGAGAAUGGUCAGGACAUGUUAUUCUGCUCUUGACCAGGUGAUGAUAUUUAUAAACCAUGUCUACACAUGAUCCAGUCUCUCAAAAUCACGUUAAAAGGAAACACUAAUCUGACUCCAGAAGCUCUGAGGCAUCAUUUUUGCUUUUCACCUUCUUAACAAGUCCAGCCAGGCCAUUUCACUCUCUCCAUGACACAGGAGGUUUUACCACAAAUGCUUUCAAAUAUAAUCUCCUCUUUCAAUAUUACACAUUCAUGAAAACCACACAUCAUAAAAGUAAAAAUUCCUGUUCCUUCAUGCCACUUUGCUCCUCCGUUUCAUUUGUCCCCCCCCCCACCUCAUAAGCCUCACUCAGCACACUCUCAUGCACUGUGUCCACCACACCUGAGUCACCAGACCCUCUGCCCUGUGACAUUUCCGCAUUCUCUUGCUCUUGGUACAGCUCCUGGGAAAGUGCAGUCUCACAGGCAGCCUGCUGUUUGGAUUGGAGCUACAGAGGAGACGUCAAGAGAUGGCCUUUCAAACAAGAAUCUUUGGAAUUCAGGAGAGAAAGGCUGUGGAUACUGGCAUAGUGAUAAUUUCUCUUUUUUUUUCCUACUGCAUUGUUAUUAUGGCAGUAACAUUGUGCAGACAGCUUUGGGAACUGGAGGAUGAAGCCAGAAGGUGGGGGGAAUAGAGUGUUCUUGGGAUAUGUGGAAAGCGGGUGCUAUUGUAAAAUGCUCCAGUGAGUGACAGAGUAGCCUGGUUGAUUUGUUUGUUGGUUAUACAGCACCACAUGUUUUAUUCAGGAGUUCACUUAAAAUAUUUAGUCUUCAUCUUUUUUUUUUAAGGGGUUUAAAAAAUAUGUAUUUAUUUAUGGUUGCACCGGGUCUCUGUUGCUGCAUGUGGGCUUUCUCUAGUUGCGGUGAGCGGGGCUGCUCUUCAUGGUGGUGCCUGGCUUCACACUGCCGUGGCUUCUCGUUGCAAAGCACAGGCUCUAGGGCACAGGUUUCAGCAGCUGCCAGCACAUGGGCUUCAGUAGUGGUGAUGCACAGGCUUAGUUGCUCUGCAGCACGAGGGAUCUCCCUGGACCAGGGAUCAAACCUCUGUCCCCUGCAUUGGCAGGCAGAGUCUCAUCCACUGGACCACCAGGGAAGCCCUGGUCUUUAUCUUAUAAGGAGAGAUAACAACAUGAGGCAUGAAAUUUCGUUUGAAAAAGGACUGAAGGGAAUAUCCUAAAACUAGGUGAGUUAAGAUAGUCUGUGGUUAAAAAGCCGUAACUCAAAAGUAUUUCUGAAGGCCUGGUAUGAAGAAGGUCAUCUUUCAAAUGACAUUUAUAUUCACAGGAAGAAUCUCAUGGUCCGGGGAUAGAAGUUGAUCAAUGACGAAAUCUGAGGAUAAAGAUGAUCAGCGGGACAGAGAGAUGCAGAGAUAGAGAAAAGAACUAACCAUGGGGAAAAAAAUGGCUUCUAGAUUCCUAAAUCUGUCCCAAUAGCAACAUAUAAUUUGACCAUUAAAAAAUAAUUUUAAAAAUAGCUUAGAAAAAGCAAUGUGGACAAAUGCAAUUUUAUAGAACAUAAUUUCGCUGAAAGCAAUUUAGUUAAAAGCAAGUUGGUCAGCAGGUCAUUUUGGCUGAAAUGAUGAUGGGCUUUAAAUCGAAAUUCCUAGACAUUGCCUUUUUUUUUUCUUUUUAUUAUUAGUUCUAUUUGGUGCACCUUGGGACAUUUUGCAGACCUUCAUACAUCAUUACAUGUUCUUUUCCAUUGAUAGGUAUUUUUCUACUUUUUUAUCUUUUAAUAUUUAAUAUCAUUUCAGUCAUGUUCUUUCAUAUUUAACCAAUCAUUUCACCUUAGUCUCAAUCUUUUUGUUUUCAUAUUUCAAAUUCAUAAUAAAACUAUUUCUGCACACUCUGUUUAAGUUAUGAAGACGUUCAGUUCAGUCACUCAGUCGUGUCCGACUCUUUGCCACCCCAUGAAUCGCAGCACACCAGGCCUCCCUGUCCAUCACCAACUCCUGGAGUUCACUCAGACUCGCGUCCAUCGAGUCAGUGAUGCCAUCCAGCCAGCUCAUCCUCUGUUGUCCCCUUCUCCUCCUGCCCCCAAUCCCUCUCAGCAUCAGAGUCUUUUCCAAUGAGUUAACUCUUCGCAUGAGGUGGCCAAAGUAUUGGAGUUUCAGCUUUAGCAUCAGUCCUUCCAAAGAACACCCAGGACUGAUCUCCUUUAGAAUGAACUGGUUGGAUCUCCUUGAAGAUAUUGGAAUAAAGUAAAUAUCAUUCAGUAAAUUGCCUGAAUAAGUUAUUGUAGGUUACAAAAUAAUGGUAUGAUCCCAAUUUUGCUAACAACUGAGAUACAAAUAUUUAAAUAAUAUAUAAUAAACAUACUUUGUAUUUAGAAAGCAAUUUGUACAGAUAAUUAAAAGGUUAAUAGAUAGUUUGGAUAGGUAAGAUUAUACAGCUUUGUGCUUCCUUUUAUAUUUUUCUAUUUUAAAAUGCUUAAAAACUUGUAUUUUUGAAGUAGAAAAAUUAUGUUUUUCUAUUUUAAAAUAAAAUACACAUUUCUCUUUAAAUAUGGAAAAAUAGGAAAAGCAGCCAAUAAAGAAUCAUUAAUUUAAAAAAAAUGAAAUUUGAAGGAUAGAAUUUUUCUACUUUGAAAAUAACAGUUUAAAGACAGUUAUGCCUAUUCUGUUUAUCUGACUCUGUUUUCCUUUUUGUACAAGGGGAAAAAAACUUAAGCAAUUUUUUUUUUUUAUUUAAGUAAGCCACUUUUGUUUGCUAUUUGAGUUAAUCUAAUGUCAGUAAAGAAUCUGCCUGCCAGUGCAGGAGACAUGAGUUCAAUCCCUGGGUUGGGAAGAUCCCCUGGGGGAGGAAAUGGCAACCCACUCCAGUAUUUUUGCUUGGGAUAUCUCAUGGACAGAGGAGCCUGGUGGGCUACAGUCCAUGGGGUCGCAAAAGACUCAGAGAUGGCUGAGUGACUGAACAACAACAACGUUUCUCCAUGAAAGCUGAAACAGUGGGCAUUAUCUAGAAUGGAUUAGAACUAUAGGUAAAAAAUAAUGAAAUAAGCAGAUAACGCCUCAUAAUUGCUAUUGCAAAAUUAGAGAAAGAUUUUGCUUAGAAAACUAACAUACAGGAAAAAUUCAAACUUGUAGCAACAUGAAACAAAAUAGCCUAAAUAAAUUAUGGUAAGGUAAAAAAACAAUGCUAUAUAAAUUUUACUGACAAAACCUCAAUAUUUAUAUAUGAUAUAAUACACGCUGCAUUUUAGAAAAUGAUCUGUACAAUAUUACAAAAGUCAAUAGGUGGUUGCACAAUAUUUAACAAAAUAUUUAACAGAGUUCUUAUAUGUAUUAAUUUUUGCACAAACUGUUGAGUUAAAUUGCUUAUUUUCAGCCAAACUGAAUUCAGCCAAAUUUAAGCAGUUUUUUCCUACCAGCUACAUUAUUGAUUGUAUCACAUGUCAGGCAGUCCUGGGAUACUAGAAAUCAUAGCUAAAGUUUUAAUCUGGAAACCAAAUCUUCCACAAUCUGAUAGAGCUAACUGAACUGGGAAAAGACAGAGUGCAUGGGCAUGAGAAUUGACUAGAGGGACAUAUUGAGAAACACAUAACUGAAUUUAAAGGAAUCUUCUCGAUGUGUUCUGUAGACUGAAGAAUGGCGUAUGUAUUUUCUAGGCCUUUCUUUCCCUUAGAGAAAAUAAAAUGUCCAAGUAUCUUUAGUACAUACUUGCUCACUUCUGUUAUAGGAGGCAUCUAUAAGGAUAUUCACACCAGGAUGAUCUCAAACAUAUUCAUAGAUUGAUGUAAAUAUUAUAAAUUUUCAUCACAAAGUGAAUGGUUAGAUAAUAUCCUAAACUAUAUAAAAAAUACUACUCUGUGGCAGCUGAGAAAGCAAUGCUUCCAUAUUUAUAUUUUUCAAAUAAAACAUGGAAACAUUUUAAGACCUAUUAUGAUAAAAUAAUUUUGCAUAAAUAUUUAUGAUUCCACUUAUAUUGAAACAAAGUUAUUCUAAAUUAUGUAACAUUUUAUCCAUUUACGAAUAAAUCUGUUGUUGUUGUUCAGUUGCUAAGUCCUGUCCAACUCUCUGCAACCCCAUGGACAGCAGCACUCCAGGCUCCUCUGUCCUACACUAUCUCCUGGAGUUUGCUUAGAUUCAUAUCUGCUGAGUUGGUGAUACUAUCUAACCAUCUCAUCCUUUGCCACCCCUUUCUUUUGCCUUCAAUCUUUCCCAGGAUCAUGGUCAUUUCCGGUGAGCUGGCUCUUUGCAUCAGGUGGCCAAAGUAUUGGAGCUUCAACAACAGUCCUUCCAAUGAAUCCAUCUAUGUAAAUGCAUAAAACAACAUUCUAAAGUUAUAAAGUACACUGCUUUUAUUCCUUCUGGGGAGGGAAAUGAGAUUGGUAGCAAUAGUGGAGGGUUUGGAAUUUUACCAAAUAUAUUUCAGUAUUGUUUGCAUUGAUUCUAAAUAAAUAUAUUUUUGUAUUGCUAGCAGACAUAGCAAGUAUAGAAGACUUGAGUAGUUCAAAUAAAUGAACUAAAUGGAAGAGCACUAAAUCUUUUAAAUCUUUUAAACACUUAACAUCUAAUUGAGUCUUCAAAGUGUUACCUCUUCUGAAAGAUAUAACCUCCCUACUUUCCCACCACACACACCACAAGGAGGAAAAGGAGAAAAUAACAUUUAUUGAAAAUCUACAGCAUGUUCAGAAAUUUCUUAUGCUUACAAAGGUCUGUUUCUUUGCUACUAGAAAUUAUGUCCCUAAAACUGUUUAGGUUAAGGAACCUGCCUGCCACUGCAGGAGAUGUAAGAGACGUGGAUUGGGCCCCUGAGUUGGGAAGAUCCCCUGGAGGAGGGCAUGGCAACCCAUUCCAAUAUUGAUGCCUGGAGAAUCCCAUGGACAGAGGAGUCUGGCGGGCUAGGUUCACAGUGUUGCAAAGAGUCGGACACAACUGAAGCAACUUAGCACACACACACACAGGCUAAAUAUUAGGCUUCUCUGGUGGCUCGAACAGUAAAGAAUCUGCUUGCAAUUCAAGAGAUCCAGGUUCAAUCCCUGAGUUGGGAAGAUCCCCUGGAAAAGGGAAUGGUUACUCACUUCAGUAUUCUUGCCUGGAGAAUCCCAUGGACAGAGGAGCCUGGUGGGCUACAGUUCAUGGGGCCACAAAGAGUUGGACACAACUGAGCAAUUAACACUUUUCAGGCUCAAUAUUACCAUAGUAUUUCUACAUUUUAAACAUGAAUUGAAAAAUGUUAGAAUUUUCAUUGAGUCAGAAAAAGAAUUCUCAUAAGCAUUUCUUUUGUAUGACUUUUCUCUUGAAAGUGUUGAGUGAUGACCAUUGCUAAUGAAUUAGGAUGUAAUGGCUAGCUAGUUGGAGUUUUCUUUCAAUGAUGAAUACAUUUAAGUAUCUCAGGUUGAUGAAUUCUUGUCUACAUAUGCAAGAUGGAUUAGUCAAUUAUCCAAUAAAUCAGGGUGAUAAACCUAUUACAGAGUAAAGAUGGGGGUGAGCGUUAUUUCUAAGAUUGAUGGCUUGUAUUAGUAAAAUUUACUAUCUUCUUAAUUUUUCCUGGCACAGGAUAACCAAACAAAUACUUUUCUUAAUGGGUCAGAGUCUUGCCUAUAGAAAGCCCUCAAUGAAUAUUUGUUGCACAAAAUUGAACUUGACAUAGAGAGGUUUUCAAAACAUGCUGUAUUCACCUAAAAUGCUAUCAUUUUGUCUAUUUUAUGUACUACUAUAUUUAAUUUACUCUUUAAAAUGUUAAAAAAAUACAUUUUAAUGGAUUAGUCAACAAUUUUUGAACCAGAAGAUAGAGAACAACAAAUCUAUGGAGGAGGUUCUUGAAUGGUUUGCUUCAAAGUUGAACAAUAAAUGGACAACAACAACAAAAAUCCCUAGGCAUCUUCUACACAAGCUCCCCAGACUCUGCAGUUUGAGGGUGCCUGACUGGCUUUUGCAUUGUUCCCAUUUUCCUCUGUGUCAGUGUUUUACAGCUAAUCACAUGCAUCUCAAAUCUAAAGGGGGUAUUCUUUUCUCCCAGCCUUUUCCAGGGUGCACCACCACACCAUCCUUAUCUUAAAGGGAAGAGAAAACCCCAAGUCUUCCCAAAAUCAAUGGGAUUCAUAAGAGAUUUAACAGAGUUGCUGGUCAGAAGAUUCAAGGGUUAUCGUUACCAUCUUUCCUAAAUUCAGCUCUUUUAAAAGCAAGAAGAAAGCAUUAUUUCUGCGACAGCUUCACGGAGGUCUUUAGCAUGUAAAGAAAGCAUGCGAGAAAUAAUAGCAGUUGGGCUAAGACUUGGGAGAACCAAGGAAUUACGAGAAUAAGAAAGAAAAACAGGUAGAGCUACGGAAGCAUUGAGGAUGAGAAGCCAGCUCCAAAGGAAGAGAAAAUAAAGAGGCAUGGUGUUUGGAGGUGAAGUAAGAAAUCAUUUGAGAUCUUAGUUCUCAGACCAGAGAUCAGACUCCUGCCCCCUGCACUGGGAAUGUGGAACCUUAACCACUGGACUGCCAGGGAAGUCCCUGGUGUGGUAAUUCUAUGUUUCAUAUUUUGAGGAACUGCCAAAAUCUUUUCCACUGUGGCUCUACCAUCUUAUAUUUCCACCAGCAAUGUAUAAGGGCUAUAAUUUCUAUACAUCAUAACUUGUAUCUCAAUUAUUAUUCACAUAUAUAUCUCUUCCAAUAGACUGAAGAAUGGGCUCUAUUAUGAGUUGGUUUUCAUUCAUCUUUAUAUAAUCAGCAUUCUCUAAAAUUAUGUAAAAACUUGAGAAGAAAGAUUGAGUUUGUAUAUAAAUUUAUAAUUAAAAAUUAAGAUUUUUUUGUUUUCCAUAAACUAAUUUUUUCUGACAUUCUUAACAGGUGGGUUUUAAUGUGCUUUUUAGCCAGAUUGCCACACUUAUUACUACUGGUACUUAACAUCUUAAAAUAAUAACUUUGUCAAUAUUUUCUCAGGAUUAUGACCAAAGUGCCAUGAGAAUGUGAAGUAGCAAUGCAAUUUCUGAACUUUUUUAAAAA
ensembl:lncRNA